rnacentral:tRNA from 1 species
AGGAAUUUAGGAUAUUUACUUAAACCAUGGACCUUCAAAGUCCAAAAAAAAGGUGCAAACCCUUUAACUCCUG